UACGUAGGGUCCGAGCGUUGUCCGGAAUUACUGGGCGUAAAGAGCUCGUAGGUGGUUUGUCGCGUUGUUCGUGAAAACUCACAGCUCAACUGUGGGCGUGCGGGCGAUACGGGCAGACUUGAGUACUGCAGGGGAGACUGGAAUUCCUGGUGUAGCGGUGGUAUGCGUAGAUAUCGAGAGGAACACCUGCGGCGAAGGCGGGUUGCUGGGCCGACACUGACGCUGAUGCGCGAAAGCCAGGGGAGCGAACGGG
rnacentral:rRNA from 1 species